rnacentral:rRNA from 1 species
GAUGAACGCUGGCGGCGUGCCUAAUACAUGCAAGUCGAGCGAACAGACGAGGAGCUUGCUCCUCUGACGUUAGCGGCGGACGGGUGAGUAACACGUGGAUAACCUACCUAUAAGACUGGGAUAACUUCGGGAAACCGGAGCUAAUACCGGAUAAUAUAUUGAACCGCAUGGUUCAAUAGUGAAAGACGGUUUUGCUGACACUUAUAGAUGGAUCCGCGCCGCAUUAGCUAGUUGGUAAGGUAACGGCUUACCAAGGCAACGAUGCGUAGCCGACCUGAGAGGGUGAUCGGCCACACUGGAACUGAGACACGGUCCAGACUCCUACGGGAGGGAGCAGUAGGGAAUCUUCCGCAAUGGGCGAAAGCUUGACGGAGCAACGCCGCGUGAGUGAUGAAGGUCUUCGGAUCGUAAAACUCUGUUAUUAGGGAAGAACAAAUGUGUAAGUAACUAUGCACGUCUUGACGGUACCUAAUCAGAAAGCCACGGCUAACUACGUG